rnacentral:rRNA from 1 species
CCUACGGGAGGCUGCAGUGGGGAAUAUUGCACAAUGGGGGAAACCCUGAUGCAGCGACGCCGCGUGAGUGAAGAAGUAAUUCGUUAUGUAAAGCUCUAUCAGCAGGGAAGAAAAUGACGGUACGUGAGUAAGAAGCCCCGGCUAACUACGUGCCAGCAGCCGCGGUAAUACGGAGGGCGCGAGGGUUAUCCGGCUUGACUGGGUGGAAAGGGAGCGUAGACGGCAUUGCAAGUCUGGAGUGAAAGGCGGGGGCUCAACCCUCGGACUGCUCUGGAAACUGUACGGCUGGAGUGCAGGAGAGGUAAGUGGAAUUCCUGGUGUAGCGGUGAAAUGCGUAGAUAUUAGGAGGAACACCAGUGGCGAAGGCGGCUUACUGGACUGUAACUGACGCUGAGGCUCGAAAGCGUGGGGAGCAAACAGGAUUAGAUACCCGGGUAGUC